rnacentral:lncRNA from 1 species
CCCGAGGUCGCUCUUUUCUGCACCCCUCACCUCGCGACCUUUCAGGAAUCUGAGGGGUCAUGAAGCGGCCUGGCUGACCCACCUCCCCGGGGCCGAGCUUCGAGAAAGGCUUCAUGGAGGGAGCCAUCCCGUCCCUGUCUUUAAAAUGAGCGCAAUAAAAGGGGGCAAAUCCUCAAACGUGAACCUGAUCACUUGUCACAGAAGCAACUUGCCAUGAAAUCCGCUAAUGCGCCGCGACUCGCCCACCCGGAUAGAUAACCCCCGCAGUGGUGUAACCAGCGCGCGCGCCCAAAGCCGUCUUGUCCCUCGAAUGCGCUCACCGCCGGCAACACUUGGAGAAUCCAGCCCACAGUGGUUUCGAAAACCCCAUUUUCCUGAUUGCAGCUCAGACUGUGGAACCCCGAGAGCCUCCCCAAAGAGGGAGCGUGAAUCGGGCCAAGUAGUGGGUCGGGGACACACACGCACGCACGCACGCACGCAUAUGCACACAGAGGCAGAGCAGUGCUUCAUAGGACCUAAGAUCCAGGGUGGCUGGAAAGGGAUCUGGGAGGCCACGUCUGAAGGAGCCAGCAAGGCCCUGGUGCUGCCUCUGCCAGAGUCGUGCAGCCACUGAAGCAGCCUGAUCCUGAUAGUUAUUUUGGGGGGAAAAACACCUGGAACCCAGGUUUGAGCUAAAGAAAGUAAGGGCAAGUGACAGAUGAUCAAGCAUUUCUUUGAAAUGAGGAAGAACUGAGAACUACCCAGCUGGCCUGGCCUUAGGGCAAACUGGACCUUAGGAAACUACUCUCUUCGCACACACAGCAGCACACAUCCUCCGAUGGCAAGUUCACCCGUGCCCAGCAAGGGCCACUGCACCUCCUAACUGCUUUUUCAGCCUCCUCCAGGUUUUGCCAGGCAAAUGAAACAAGAACUCAAUAGUAAAUUAUUUUGUUCAGACUUCUGUCUUUUUAUGAAAAUAAAAGGCAACACUUUGUCA